ACUGGACGUGAUGGCAUUGAUGGUGGGGAUGAAGGAACUGCUGGGUAGCUGCGUUUUGGCAGGAUACUGGCUUCCUGAGGCAGGUACCAGGAUUCGACUGUUAAGGGAGCUCCAAAAUUAAGAUUAGCCAUCUAACUCCCUGACCCUGUAAUUCUGCGGUGAGAUCGCCAAGAUGAUAGGGGAGUAUAAGCCAAUUUGG